rnacentral:rRNA from 1 species
UACGGGGGGGGCAAGCGUUGUUCGGAAUUACUGGGCGUAAAGGGCUCGUAGGUGGCCAACUAAGUCAGACGUGAAAUCCCUCGGCUUAACCGGGGAACUGCGUCUGAUACUGGAUGGCUUGAGUUCGGGAGAGGGAUGCGGAAUUCCAGGUGUAGCGGUGAAAUUCGUAGAUAUUAGCUAGAACACCAGUGGCGAAGGCGACUCGCUGGACAAGUAUUGACGCUGAGGUGCGAAAGCGUGGGGAGCAAACAGG